rnacentral:rRNA from 1 species
AGAGUUUGAUCCUGGCUCAGCGCGAACGUUGGCGGCGUGCCUAACACAUGCAAGUCGUGGGGCAGCAGGCUACUACCUUCGGGUAGUAGUGCUGGCGACCGGCAAACGGGUGAGUAACGCGUAGCUUUACUUCCCUUAGGUUGGGGAUAACCCCGGGAAAGGGGGGCACGGGGCUUAUAACCCCAUAUAGAGCUUCGCUUCCAAAGGGUCUUAGCUCCGCCUAGAGAGUGGGCUUGCUCCCAUCAGCUUGUUGGUGAGGUAAUGGCUCACCAAGGCUACGGACGGGGUACGGUCUGAGAGGAUGACCAGCCACAGUGGGACUGAGACACGGGCCGCACCCCUACGGGGGGCAGCAGUGGGGAAUAUUGGGCAAUGGCCGAAAGGCUUGACCAGCGGACGCCGCGUGGUGGAUGAAGCCCUUCGGGGUGUAAACACCUGUUCUGGGGGAAAGACUUCUAAAGGCUGACGGUACCCCAGGAGAAAGGGACGGCUAACUACGUGCCAGCAGCCGCGGUAAUACGCAGGUCCCGAACGUUGCGCGAAAUUACUGGGCGUAAAGGGUCCGUAGGCGGUCUGGUAAGUGGAAGGUGAAAGCCCACGGCUCAACCGUGGAAUAGCCUUCCAAACUGCCGGACUUGAGGCAGGGAGAGGUCGGCGGAAUUCCCGGUGUAGCGGUGAAAUGCGUAGAUAUCGGGAGGAACACCGGUGGCGAAGGCGGCCGAUGGGAACUGACCUGACGCUGAAGGACGAAAGCCAGGGGAGCAAACCGGAUUAGGUACCCGGGUAGUCCUGGCCGUAAACGAUGGGUGCUAGAUGUGGGCAGGGUGAAACCUGUCCGUGUCGCAAGCUAACGCGUUAAGCACCCCGCCUGGGGAGUACGGGCGCAAGCUUGAAAUUCAAAGGAAUGGACGGGGACCCGCACAACCGGUGGAGCGUCUGGUUUAAUUCGAUGCUAACCGAAAAACCUUACCAGGGCUUGACAUGCGGUGUGUCGUGCCCGAAAGGGCACUAGGCACCUCUUCGGAGGUGCCGCGCCGCACAGGUGGUGCAUGGCCGUCGUCAGCUCGUGCCGUGAGGUGUUGGGUUAAGUCCCGCAACGAGCGCAACCCUUGCCCCGUGUUACCAGCGGGUUAAGCCGGGUACUCACGGGGGACUGCCGGCGAUAAGUCGGAGGAAGGAGGGGAUGACGUCAGGUCAGUAUGCCCUUUAUGCCCUGGGCUACACAGGCGCUACAAUGGCAGGGACAAAGGGUUGCGAAGCUGUGAGGCGGAGCUAAUCCCAAAAACCCUGUCGUGGUGCGGAUUGGGGGUUGCAACUCACCCCCAUGAAGGCGGAAUCGGUAGUAAUGGCGAAUCACCAAAGUCGCCGUGAAUACGUUCCCGGGUCUUGUACACACCGCC